AAAUACAUCCCUGAUAAUCACCCUUGACUAAAAUGUAAACCAUAGGCUAAAAUACAAUUUGGCAACGAAGCGCGUACAAGGGACGAACUUUGGCAACCUAUCCUGAGUCUAUUUUAUCGGUUUCACCAACAGAUAAUUCACGCUAAUUAACAGGUAUCUUAAAAAAUUAUGUAAAAAAAAAUAAUUUCCUAUAUUUUGAAACGGUGCUCAAAUUUGCGGAUUUUUGAAAAGUGUUUUAAAACGCAUUUUUAUCAAAACGUUUUUAGGUGGAGAUUGCCUCUUCGUGAAAAAAUUUUAACAAAUUCAUUAUUAAAGGAGAGACAUUCACAUUAAAAUAGUUGGUAUUUUAGUAUUCAGGCCUAUAUGUUAUUGUCGUUACGGCUAUUGUUUAGAAUAAUUCUUUUACAGACUGUGUUAUUAAAUAAAGGAUUCAUAAAAGUAGGUCUAAUUCAAGUUUACGUCGGGAGCAUGUUGUUAUUACUUUCGAUGUUGCCCGGUUAUCAAAGUACAGUACACUCUUAAGUAUAUUUGUAUCGACCCCAAGUAUUUCAGAUAAUGGCAGUAAUAUAGUUAGUUUCUUUCCUUUAUUGCUCUAUGAUCUUUCAAUUUGAAAAUGGUUCUUCCUUGGGCUAUUUGUAUUAUAUAUUUUUGUACAAUAUGUGCAUCAGCUAAAAAAAAAAUAGCCAUCAUCAGUGUAAUUGGUAGUCAAAUGCCAAUAUGAUGUUGAAUGAUAUUACGCAUCUGGUUUUUCUGCACACAGAAGUUGAGCAGUCGACAGCGGGCAGCAGCAGCAGACCAGACGAUCCAGAUACAAUGAAUGAUUUGGUUAGGCCUACAUCUAAAAGGAAAAAAGAUGGAGUCGUUGCUGUGACAUCUUCUAAAAGAAAAGUUGCAUCUUCUAAAAGGAAGAAAGGUAAUCAGCCGACAGCGAGCAGCAGC